CCCCUCUCAGGAUCACACCUGGAGAGUUUCCAGUACUUUACCAGUCUCGGCUACAGGAGGGGGAGUCAAGCAGAGGCCUACCCAUUCCAUUCCUAGCUUGGGCAGUGGCUAGCGAGUGCAAGGCAAUCUACUACAAGU
rnacentral:snoRNA from 1 species